ensembl:lncRNA
UGGUACCAUGACGGUGGAGUAGGAUGGGUUGAAGAGCGCAACAUCAAACUAAACUCUAAUAAGAUGUAAGCUCCACGAUAAACAGAUGCAAGUCAGUGAUUGAUAAAUGAUUCACACAUUUCUACUCAUCAUUUUAGUUUCAAUUCCUUCGCUAUAACGUUUACAUUGGAGUGGCGUUAAAGAGUUCUGACAGGAAAGUGACCUUAAAUAAAUGAGACAGUAACCAGGAUCACCAGAGCUCUGGUGAACUGGUAUGGCGGAGUCACUGGGAGGGUUCUGACUGCAGACGGCUGCUAAGGAAUGGAAGGACAGCAGAAAGAAUCAUUGGCACAGAACUAGCGAGAUGUCCUAAUAUCUCCAGCGCUUCUGGGAUGGUGGUUCCUUUGGGUCAAGGCAGGGAGAGCGUUAGUGUUUCAAAGUAUUUUUAAAACACGUGACCAACAAAGUACGGAUCAAUGGCCUGUUCCCACGGCCACCGUCGGUCCACAGAACCUCAGCCCCCCCCAACCUGAAGCCUCCUCUCCGGGCGUGCCCCCCGCCCCCACGCCCCC